UGUCUCCUCCAUUUCUUCCCAAAGAAUUGGAUUUAGCCCGCUCCCUGAGCGGGCUUUUUUUU
rfam:Massilia sp. Root351 contig_1, whole genome shotgun sequence.